AACGAACGCUGGCGGCAGGCUUAACACAUGCAAGUCGAACGCAUCCUUCGGGGUGAGUGGCAGACGGGUGAGUAACGCGUGGGAACGUGCCCUUCAGUUCGGGAUAACCCAGGGAAACUUGGGCUAAUACCGGAUACGUGCGAGAGCAGAAAGAUUUAUCGCUGAAGGAUCGGCCCGCGUCUGAUUAGCUAGUUGGUGGGGUAAUGGCCCACCAAGGCGACGAUCAGUAGCUGGUCUGAGAGGAUGAUCAGCCACAUUGGGACUGAGACACGGCCCAAACUCCUACGGGAGGCAGCAGUGGGGAAUAUUGGACAAUGGGCGCAAGCCUGAUCCAGCCAUGCCGCGUGAGUGAUGAAGGCCUUAGGGUUGUAAAGCUCUUUCGUCCGGGACGAUAAUGACGGUACCGGAAGAAGAAGCCCCGGCUAACUUCGUGCCAGCCGCCGCCGUAAGAC
rnacentral:rRNA from 1 species